AGCAGCCGCGGUAAUUCCAGCNCCAAUAGCGUAUAUUAAAGUUGUUGCAGUUAAAAAGCUCGUAGUUGAAUUUCGGGAUCAAUACGUCGGUCGUGCCUCGGUACGUACUAACGUUAUUGGUUUCUCCCUUCUGACGAACCGUGAUGUCAUUAAUUUGGUGUUACGGGGAGUUAGGACUGUUACUUUGAAAAAAUUAGAGUGUUUAAAGCAAGCAAUCGCUCGAAUACAUUAGCAUGGAAUAAUGAAAUAGGACGUUCGAACCUAUUUUGUUGGUUUCUAGGAUCGACGUAAUGAUUAAUAGGGAUAGUUGGGGGCAUUAGUGUUCAAUUGUCAGAGGUGAAAUUCUUGGAUUUAUUGAAGACUAACUACUGCGAAAGCAUUUGCCAAGGAUGUUUUCAUUAAUCAAGAACGAAAGUUAGGGGAUCGAAGACGAUCAGAUACCGUCGUAGUCUUAACCAUAAACUAUGCCGACUAGGGAUCGGAUGAUGUUAACUUAAUGACUCA
rnacentral:rRNA from 1 species